rnacentral:rRNA from 1 species
UGAGGAAUAUUGGUCAAUGGGCGCAAGCCUGAACCAGCCAUCCCGCGUGCAGGAAGACGGCCCUAUGGGUUGUAAACUGCUUUUCCGAAAGGCGAAACUCAGCGACGUGUCGUUGAUUGACGGUAUUUUGGGAAUAAGCAUCGGCUAACUCCGUGCCAGCAGCCGCGGUAAUACGGAGGAUGCAAGCGUUAUCCGGAUUCAUUGGGUUUAAAGGGUGCGUAGGCGGACUAAUAAGUCAGUGGUGAAAUCCUGCAGCUUAACUGCAGAACUGCCGUUGAUACUGUUAGUCUUGAGUUUGGUUAAGGUAGGCGGAAUGUGUAAUGUAGCGGUGAAAUGCUUAGAUAUUACACAGAACACCGAUUGCGUAGGCAGCUUACUGGACCGACACUGACGCUGAGGCACGAAAGCGUGGGGAUCGAACA